rnacentral:rRNA from 1 species
GACGAACGCUGGCGGCGUGCUUAACACAUGCAAGUCGAACGGACAGGCGCAGCUUGCUGGGUACUCGUGUGGCGAACGGGUGAGUAACACGCGGGUUAUUUGCCCUCAUCUUUGGGUUAAGCCUAGGAAACAGGGCCUAAUUACGGAUAUGUUCAAUUGUCGCCUGGAUGGUUGUGGAAAGCUUUCGCGGUUGUGGGUGGGCCCGCGGCCUAUCCGCUUGUUGGUGGGGUAAUGGUCGACCAACGCGACGCCGGGUAGCCGACCUGAGAGGGUGAUCGGCGACACUAGUCCUGAGAGACGGCCCAGACGCCUACGGGAGGCAGCGGUGGGGAGCCUUGCGGAAUAAGCGCAAGCCUGUUGCAAAGACGCUGGGUGAGGGAUACCGGCCUUCGAGUUAUGAACCUCUUUGUCCGGAGAUGAACCGAGAGUGACGGUACCUGGAGAGGAAGCCCCGGCCAACUACGUG